CCUAUACAUGCAGUCGAGCGAACGGACGAGAAGCUUGCUUCUCUGAUGUUAGCGGCGGACGGGUGAGUAACACGUGGAUAACCUACCUAUAAGACUGGGAUAACUUCGGGAAACCGGAGCUAAUACCGGAUAAUAUUUUGAACCGCAUGGUUCAAAAGUGAAAGACGGUCUUGCUCGUCACUUAUAGAUGGAUCCGCGCUGCAUUAGCUAGUUGGUAAGGUAACGGCUUACCAAGGCAACGAUGCAUAGCCGACCUGAGAGGGUGAUCGGCACACUGGAACUGAGACACGGUCCAGACUCCUACGGGAGGCAGCAGUAGGGAAUCUUCCGCAAUGGGCGAAAGCCUGACGGAGCAACGCCGCGUGAGUGAUGAAGGUCUUCGGAUCGUAAAACUCUGUCCAUUAGGGAAGAACAUAUGUGUACAGUAACUGUGCACAUCUUGACGGUACCUAAUCAGAAAGCCAAGGUAACUACGUGCCAGCAGACGCGGUAAUACGUAGGUGGCAAGCCGUAUACAGGAAUCAUUGGGCGUAAGCGCGCGUAAGCGGUAAACAAGUCUGAUG
rnacentral:rRNA from 1 species